rnacentral:rRNA from 1 species
UUAAAUUGAAGAGUUUGAUCAUGGCUCAGAUUGAACGCUGGCGGCAGGCCUAACACAUGCAAGUCGAACGGUAACAGGAAACAGCUUGCUGUUUCGCUGACGAGUGGCGGACGGGUGAGUAAUGUCUGGGAAGCUGCCUGAUGGAGGGGGAUAACUACUGGAAACGGUAGCUAAUACCGCAUAACGUCGCAAGACCAAAGAGGGGGACCUUCGGGCCUCUUGCCAUCGGAUGUGCCCAGAUGGGAUUAGCUAGUAGGUGGGGUAACGGCUCACCUAGGCGACGAUCCCUAGCUGGUCUGAGAGGAUGACCAGCCACACUGGAACUGAGACACGGUCCAGACUCCUACGGGAGGCAGCAGUGGGGAAUAUUGCACAAUGGGCGCAAGCCUGAUGCAGCCAUGCCGCGUGUAUGAAGAAGGCCUUCGGGUUGUAAAGUACUUUCAGCGGGGAGGAAGGGAGUAAAGUUAAUACCUUUGCUCAUUGACGUUACCCGCAGAAGAAGCACCGGCUAACUCCGUGCCAGCAGCCGCGGUAAUACGGAGGGUGCAAGCGUUAAUCGGAAUUACUGGGCGUAAAGCGCACGCAGGCGGUUUGUUAAGUCAGAUGUGAAAUCCCCGGGCUCAACCUGGGAACUGCAUCUGAUACUGGCAAGCUUGAGUCUCGUAGAGGGGGGUAGAAUUCCAGGUGUAGCGGUGAAAUGCGUAGAGAUCUGGAGGAAUACCGGUGGCGAAGGCGGCCCCCUGGACGAAGACUGACGCUCAGGUGCGAAAGCGUGGGGAGCAAACAGGAUUAGAUACCCUGGUAGUCCACGCCGUAAACGAUGUCGACUUGGAGGUUGUGCCCUUGAGGCGUGGCUUCCGGAGCUAACGCGUUAAGUCGACCGCCUGGGGAGUACGGCCGCAAGGUUAAAACUCAAAUGAAUUGACGGGGGCCCGCACAAGCGGUGGAGCAUGUGGUUUAAUUCGAUGCAACGCGAAGAACCUUACCUGGUCUUGACAUCCACAGAACUUUCCAGAGAUGGAUUGGUGCCUUCGGGAACUGUGAGACAGGUGCUGCAUGGCUGUCGUCAGCUCGUGUUGUGAAAUGUUGGGUUAAGUCCCGCAACGAGCGCAACCCUUAUCCUUUGUUGCCAGCGGUCCGGCCGGGAACUCAAAGGAGACUGCCAGUGAUAAACUGGAGGAAGGUGGGGAUGACGUCAAGUCAUCAUGGCCCUUACGACCAGGGCUACACACGUGCUACAAUGGCGCAUACAAAGAGAAGCGACCUCGCGAGAGCAAGCGGACCUCAUAAAGUGCGUCGUAGUCCGGAUUGGAGUCUGCAACUCGACUCCAUGAAGUCGGAAUCGCUAGUAAUCGUGGAUCAGAAUGCCACGGUGAAUACGUUCCCGGGCCUUGUACACACCGCCCGUCACACCAUGGGAGUGGGUUGCAAAAGAAGUAGGUAGCUUAACCUUCGGGAGGGCGCUUACCACUUUGUGAUUCAUGACUGGGGUGAAGUCGUAACAAGGUAACCGUAGGGGAACCUGCGGUUGGAUCACCUCCUUACCUUAAAGAAGC